GGGCUCGCUUCGGCAGCACAUGUACUAAAAUUGAAACAAUACAAAGAAGGUGAGCAUGACCCCUGCACAAGGAUGACACACAAAUUCAUGAAGCAUUUCAUAAAUGA